CUACGACCAGCGGCCAUAGCCUCAGAAUAAAAGAACAAACCUUUAGAAAGAGGAUGGGGAAUUUAUUUAUUCAGAGGGUGGUGAAUCUGUGGAAUUCAUUGCCACAGAUGGCUGUGGAGGACGUCAAUGGAUAUUUUUAAAUGCGGGAAAUGACAG